ACCAACGAAGCUGCAGAACCCAUGUUAUUCAGAGCUGGAACUAAGUAUGGAGAAGAGAGGUAGUUUCCCUAGGGCACACUUUGUGUUGCUAUACGUCUGAAAAUCAUAUAAUAAAGAAGAUAGGUCAAUGACCAUGAAGACCCAUGUGCAGUGUUUGCCAGGAUACAAGAACAAAAGCUGUUGUGGGGAAUGGCCUUGA